AUGACAUACUCAAUUUCAUUUCUAGUGACCAGUCUGUUUAGUUUAUCUGUUUCUUAUUGGUUCAGUUUUGGCAGGCUGCAAGUCUCUAGAAAGUUGUCCAUUUCUUCUAGGUUGUCAAAUUUGUUGGCAUACAAUUGUUCAUAGUAUUCUCUCAUGGUUUUUUGUAUUUCUGUAGUAUCUGUUGUGACUGCUCCUUUCUCAUUUCUUAUUUUGAUUUUUUUUUACCAACUGAAUGUAUCGUUCACUCAAACAAUAUGUUUGAUAGAAUAUUUCAGGGAAGUCAUCACACGUUUAAAAUUAUGUGAUUUCUGCCAAAGGUGCAAGUCAGUGGAGGAAAAGAUAAUCUUUUGAAUAAAUGGUCUUGGAUCAAUUGAAUAUUUAUAUGGACAGUUUUUAACCCUGACCCUUUUCUCAUAUUAUACACACUUACUAACUCAAAAUGGAUCAAAGAUCUAAAGUGAAGCAUAAAACAAUGAAACUUCUAGAAGAAAACAUAAGAGAAUAUUUUCAUGACCUUAAGAUAGUCAAUGUUUCUUAAACACAAAAGCACAAAUCAUGAAAAAAGAGACUAAUAAAAUAGACUUCAUUAAUUUAAGAACUUUCAUUUAUCAAAAAUCAUUUUUAGGGCAUUCCCUUUGUGCCUCAGAGGUUAACGAACACAACUAGAAUCCAUGGGGAUGUAGGUUUGAACCCUGGCCUUGCUCAGUGGGUUAAGGAUCUGGCAUUGCCGUGAGCUUUGGUGUAGGUCACAGAUGCAGCUUGGAUCCCACAUUUCUGUGGCUCUGGACUGUGGCUUUCGCUGGCAGCUGAAGCUCCAAUUCGAUCCCUAGCGUGGGAACAUCCAUAGGCUAACUUAUAUCCAAAAUAUAUAAGGUACUACUAUAAAUCAAUAAGAGAAAAACAAUUCAAUUUUUUGAAAAAUGGGCAAAAGAUUUGAAUAUGCAUUGCAUGAAUCUACAUCUCUAAAUGGUCAAGAAGCAUGUGAAAAAAGAUUCAAUAUCAUUUUUCUUGGGGGAAAUGCAAAAUUAAAACCAUAAUCAGAUAACACUACACAGUAACAUUUUCAAAAUUAGAUAUUACUAUUCUUGUACAUUCCUGGUGGGGGUGUAAAUUGGGACAACUCCUCUGCUCCUACUGUUCCUACUGUUUCCUACACCCACUGGCAAAUUCUUGUCUGGCCACAAAUUCUUUUGCUCAUCACAAGGUGAUAGAUUUUUCUCUCACAUUGUUUUCCCUUUCUAGUUCAACUGGGAAAUAUCAAACACAUAAUAAUAGGUAAGUAUAUAAACCUGUACCAGCCUCCUUCCUUAUCUGUUCAUCCUACCUUUACUUUCUGAAUUUUCCUUGGUUUCUUACUACAAGACAAAGGGACCUGUGUUUCCUCACUUAUUAAUGGAAGGGGUUUCAAUCUAUCAUAUUCAGUGUAACAGGUAAAUGGUUUAUGCCUUGAUGAGUUUCUGGAGAAUAAGAUACAUGGAGAGCCUCUCAAACAUAGAAAACUUAAAGCAUUUGUAUUCCCCUCAAGGUGCCUUAUAUAUACUAAUCAAUGUAAGUGGGGAAUGAAUUUAGUGUUACUAUGGUCAGAAAAAAGCAAAUAUCUAGGAUAUUUAAGAAAGUGAAGUUGCUCUCACAUUCUAGGCAUGACAGGGGAAUGAUUCUCCUAUUUUCUCUUUGUUAUUUUCAUUCUGUCUCAUCAUAUAGUAAUAUAUUUUCUUUCUUGUAUCGUAGAUGCCCAGAGCAACAAAUGAAAAAAAAAUCCACUUCUUUUUUCUCUUUCUCCUCACAGUCAUCACACAUUGAAAUCACUGUUUUCUAUGGUCACAGAUUUCCCUCUAGCCUCUCCUCAAAUGGAACCUGUACUCUUCCGACCUUUUCUCUCCACAGCACUCCUAAAGUCAAAUCAGAGCUUUUAGGAGCUAGUAUUACCUCUUGGUCUCAGUGCUUUCAAAAUUCACUUUCAGGAAAAAGAAUUGAUAGAGAAUUCACUUUUUUCCCAUAGGUAACUUCUUUAAGGAAUUAUUGUUUAAAAUGCAAACAAGUGAAUUUCUAAUGGUGGAACUUUAAGGUCUGACAAGUUGGUAGAGGAAUGGAAGUUGGUUUUUUAGGCUAGUAAGCCUUCAAACCUUUCCUCUGCUCCUAAUAACUUUAACACAUAAUCUCUUUUCCAGUAAAGCUAGCUCUGUUUUCAACAGACUACAAAGUAUAGCUAUCUGAUCUGCCCUUAGUCCCAUGUAACUUUGAUCUAUUUUCUUUCAGAGGUAUCGCCUUCUCAAAAAAGCCAAGAGGAACUGGCAAGGAGUUGAAAAGAAUUCUUUUUUUUUUUUUUUUUUCGCUCUAAGACUAAAAUGACCUAAGUUGCAAGGACUGGGUGAUCUCAGUUUCUCUGGAAAGUACAGUGUUGUUUUUCAUGGUUGGUAGUAAACAAAGAGCAGAACGCACCACUUGUAACACUUAUAUAAAACAACCCUUCAGUUUAUGACCUAUUGUCCAAAUUAAUGGCGGCUCACAGGGAACCUAUCUAUGGGUGGUGAUGCUGAAUCUAAUAAAAUGCAGCAUUCACAAUUUCUGUAAAAGGCAAUAGUAGCUAGAUCCAACCAUUGCUGUGGUUGCAUUGAGGAUGAACACUUCCACUGUCAAGACAGAAAAGACAUUAUUUCAAUAGUUUAUAACAUAUAGUGUUCAAAAGUUACAAAUCUGUAGCU
rnacentral:lncRNA from 1 species